CACAUGCAAGUCGAACGGUAACGCGGAGUAGCUUGCUCUCUGGCGACGAGUGGCGGACGGGUGAGUAAUACUUAGGAAUCUGCCCAGUAGUGGGGGACAACAUUCGGAAACGGAUGCUAAUACCGCAUACGCACUACGGUGGAAAGUGGGGGACCUUCGGGCCUCACGCUAUUGGAUGAGCCUAAGUCGGAUUAGCUUGUUGGUAGGGUAAUGGCCUACCAAGGCGACGAUCCGUAGCUGGUCUGAGAGGACGAUCAGCCACACUGGGACUGAGACACGGCCCAGACUCNUACGGGAGGCAGCAGUGGGGAAUAUUGGACAAUGGGCGCAAGCCUGAUCCAGCAAUGCCGCGUGUGUGAAGAAGGCCUGCGGGUUGUAAAGCACUUUCAGUAGAGAAGAAAAGCUUAGGGUUAAUAACCCUGAGUCUUGACGUAACCUACAGAAGAAGCACCGGCUAACUCCGUGCCAGCAGC
rnacentral:rRNA from 1 species